AAUGGCCAGUUCUUGGUCCCUUUUGGAUCCCAGAUGCCAGCCCGUCCUGCUGCAGCCACCCUGAACCCCUGCCACUCACAGUAAGAGGAGGAAGCGUGAUGACAACGACGGGCUGCCAUGUGUCAAAAAGCCACGCAACGCCUGAAGCUAACGACGUGUCUAAGUGGCCGUCUUGAAGUGUGGUUCCAGAGGGUUGACCAGAAGUUCUGGGAUCCCGCCUGAGAUCACCACUUCACUAAGUUUUACAUUUCAAUGAAAUGUUUAACUUUUGUAUAUAGUUCACUUUUCUUCUUUGAUUUUCUGU